GUUGCGAGGGACAUUUAAGAUCUUCUAGUUCCAUCUAGUUCCAGCUCCCCUGGGGUUGCCAGAAAGGGACUUGGAAAUGACUUUGAGCUUUGGGAAAAAAGGGAAAAAACAUAAUCUCAAGGAACAGUAAAUCAAGGCGUGUGUCUGAGGCAUGAUGCCUUCUACAGCCAAUGCCUACUGGGGAAUGUUCCCUGACACCAAACCAUCCUUCUACAAACCACAGUGAAUAAAACCCAAGGUCUGUUCUGCCAGGACAGAAGGACGUUCACCUGAAGGAAGCAGUGCACAGACCCUUGUAUCUUCCCAUCUGCAGAAGCUGAGGUUUUGGGCCAUGUCCUGGAAGAUGACAGAAGCUUCAUACAUAUCAACAUGAGGACUCAUCUCAAUAACUGAUGCACUGACUUUCCUUUCCAAAAGCUUACAGCACAACCAGAGACCUCACCAGCUGUCUGACAGCUCUCAAGCAAGUUGAAAUGCUGCCUACUGUUUGGCCACCUCUGACUGUGAUGGUUACUGUCUCUGCCUGUCUUUUUGUGGAUGAUUCUUAGGGUAUCUUUCUAGAAGCAUCUCCUCCAGUUCAGUGAGAAGGGCUCAGUGCAUAACCUCUGUCCUGGCAGAUGGGAAAUGAGCCAUCAAAGAUCUCUCUAUAGUCAAAAUUAUGUUUUAUUCUGCCUGUGAUAUUUGUUGUAGGAAAGGAGGAAUUAUUCCUUGGAUGCUCAUCUCACCACUGAAUGCAAAAGCUGCCUCGUUGCCAACUCAUAGGCAGUCCAUGUUCCUGCAUGGUGAAAUUGCAGCCAAUGACCACCCCUACAUGGUGAAAUUCUACAUUUUGCCAUGUAGAAGAGCUGAACAGAUGAUCCCAGUGACAGAAGCCAUGGAUAUCAACCACACAAAAGAGUUAAGGCUCCAUCUCAUUCCUGGGACAGAGAAGGAAGCAAAAAUCAGUCCUUCAGACUUCAGAUUUCUGGUGAAUUUACAACAUAAAUUAUUUAUUACCCUAAACAAAGCUGUUCCCUUAUCAUUUUCAUUUCUACAUUCCCCC